ACCGGCGGCUCGAGUGGUGGCCACUAUUACUGGGCUUAAAGCGUUCGUAGCUGGCUUGUUAAGUCUCUGGGGAAAUCUUCCGGCUCAACCGGAAGGCGUCUCAGGGAUACUGGCAGGCUAGGGACCGGAAGAGGUGAGAGGUACUCCAGGGGGAGGCGUGACAUCGUCUACUCCGUGGGGGAGCACCUGUGGCGGGGGCGUCUCACCUGAACGCCUCCCACAGUGAGGAGCGAAAUCUGGGCUUGCACACAG
rnacentral:rRNA from 1 species